rnacentral:piRNA from 1 species
UUGUUGACUGAACCAAUGCAUUACUCUGAGGU